AGAGUUUGAUCAUGGCUCAGAGUGAACGCUGGCGGCGUGCUUAACACAUGCAAGUCGAGCGAAGUUUUCAGCUGUAGCAAUACAGUUGAAAACUUAGCGGCAGACGGGUGAGUAACACGUAGACAAUCUACCUUCUAGAGGGGGAUAGCCCGCCGAAAGGCGGGGUAAUACCGCGUACGAUCAAGACCCGGCAUCGGGAUUUGAUGGAACGUCCGCAAGGACGGCUGGAAGAGGAGUCUGCGACCUAUCAGCUAGUUGGCGGGGUAACGGCCUACCAGGCCGAUGACGGGUCGCUGGUCUGUGAGGACGGCCAGCCAGACUGGGACUGCGACACGGCCCAGACACCUACGGGUGGCAGCAGCAAGGAAUCUUGGACAAUGGGCGCAAGCCUGAUCCAGCAACGCCGCGUGGAGGACGACGGCCUUCGGGUUGUAAACUCCUUUCAGGGGGGACGACACGGACGGUACCCCCAGAAGCAGCCCCGGCUAACUCUGUGCCAGCAGCCGCGGUAAGACAGAGGGGGCAAGCGUUGUCCGGACUUACUGGGCGUAAAGCGCGCGCAGGCGGUGCCGUAUGUGCCCGGGGACACCCGCCCGCUCAACGGGCGACGGCCUGGGUAGACAGCGGCGCUGGAGGCAGGGAGAGGGUGAUGGAAUGCCCGGUGGAGCGGUGAAAUGCGUAGAGAUCGGGCGGAACACCAGCGGGGAAGCCGGUCACCUGGUCCUGACCUGACGCUGAGGCGCGACAGCGUGGGGAGCCAACGGGAUUAGAUACCCCAGUAGUCC
rnacentral:rRNA from 1 species